GCCGGGCCCCGUGGCUGGUGCCUGUGAUCCCAGUUCCCUGGGAGGCUGAGGCCAGCGGAUCUCUUGAGCUCGGGAGUUCUGGGCUGCAGCAGGCUGUGCCGAUUGGGUGUCCACACUGAGUUUGGCAUCAAUAUGGUGACCCCUGGGGAGCUGGGGGUCCCCAGGUUGCCUAAGGAGGGGUGAACCGGCCCAGGUCGGGAACAGAGCAGGUCAAAACUCCCGUGCUGAUCAGUAGUGAGAUCGUGCCUGUGAAUAGCCCCUGCAGCGUAGCCUGGGCAAGACAGUGAGACACAGUCUCUU
ensembl:misc_RNA Metazoa_SRP Metazoan signal recognition particle RNA